UCUUUCAGAUCAAUUUCUUUUUGUCCAGCGAAAAAGAAAAUGCCAUUCUACAAGUAUGCGACGCAGUCACUCAGGACAUCGAGGAGAGGCUCACAGCUGAGAUUGAGCAGUGGAUUACCAAUAAGUUAAAGAUAGAGUUUGAACAAGUGAGAGCCUACAUGGACUUCAUAACAUCCCAAGGGGGCACAGGUUCUAUACAGAUUCCGGAUGUCUUUAGGGGACAUCGACGAGUUAGGGAGUCUGUUGGAGAUGACACUGAAGAUGAUAAAUUGUUGGAUUCUCAUGAGCAGGGACUGUCCAUGUCAUGUUCUAGUGGGUGGGAAGACUCAUCUUUUGCUGAGAUUGAUUCAUGAAUUCUAUUAGUUUUAGCUGUUACAUAUAUGUCUUUAUCUCUCGUCGAGUGAUUGUUAUCCUCACUGUUGAGUAGCAAAAUCAAGGAUUCAUUCUCAUCAACAUAUGGCAACAUAUCCAUUUGUGCAUAGAUUAUAUUUACCACAUUUCCAAGAACAUGAUGAUACCUGAAAAUAUAUGCAUUCAAACAUCAUUUAAUAUGACUGAUUCUAACUUUAGGUAACAAUGUGAUGCUCAUACUAAAUAAUUCACAUGUUAAAUGAGUCGUAUAAAGAGCUAACUACUUUUAUUUUAUUUUAUUUUUUUAUGUGGAUCUUGUGGAACUUGGAUGUAGAAGUGGCUCUGAUAAAGAGCUAGUCAAUGCGGAAAUAAUAAAAAUAUUUCUGUUUCACAUCAGAAAUGGUUCUAGAAACCCAAACUGACUGUCAUCCAUGCAAUUUGGUUACUGAAAGCAUAGCGUUUAAAACAAAUUUGUAGUUUGCAAAUCAAAAGCACUCUGGAUGCAUUCUACUAGAUGAUGCUUCUGCUGCCAAAUACUUGCUAAAGCACACUGAUGUUACAGUCCUAGAGAUAUUCAAUGUCAUUGUUAUGAUUAUUAUAUGAGCAGUUACAACCGAAAUUUAGUCUCUAUUCAUUCUAGUUAUUUCAGAAUGAAGAGGAGCUUCAUUUAUUUAUUCUUUUACAUUUUUAUUUGACUCAAAAACAGAGUUUAUUUUCUGUAGAGAAUUUUUUUUUAAUGGAAAACUGCAGGUGCUACUUUUGCUGGAAAUAUUUUAUCAGAUUAAUUGUUCACCACCUUGGCGGUAUUGUUGACCUUCAUUACAUGCUUCAUUUAAUUGUUUGCUUGGCCUGUUUGUUUUUUUGUUUUUUGUUUUCAGGUUAUGAAAAAGAUUAGUGGUCGUAGAGAUUACUGGUGGCAUGAGGCUAAUUGUUUUUUUGAACAUCUAUCUUUAUGUUUUGGGCCUAUCAUUUAUUUAUUUUUGUUUUCAGGUUUUGUAGAAAGAUUAAUGGUGAGGUAAAGAUUAACGGUGGCAUGGGGUCUAAUUUUUUUUUUUUUUGAACAUGUAUCUUUAUGUUUUGCUGCCAUUUUUCUAUUUUUGUUUUUAGGUUUUGCAGAAAGAAUAGUGAUGGUAGAUAUUGACGGUGUGGCAUUGGGGCUAAUUGUUUUUUUGGAUAUUUUUUUGGCUGCCAUCUAGACUUAAGUUUUGGAUAAUGCUGUAAUUAAUAUUUAGAGCUUAUUGAUAUCUUAUAGUUUGUAUUAACGAAUUAUUGUUAAUAUUUUGAUGUAAUUGAACAAAUGUUGGAUUUAUAUUGAUUAAAUAUG